rnacentral:lncRNA from 1 species
AUGUUUCCCCUCCCCCCGUUUUGGGGCCAUUCUCUCCCCUCGUUUUGGGGCCAUUCUCUCUUCUUUUGGGGAUGUUUUCUCCCACCGUUUUGGGGCCAUUUUCUCCACCCCUGGGACCAAUCUCUCCCCUUUUGGGGCCAUUUUCUCCACCCUGGGAUCAUUCCCUCCCCUUUUGGGGCCAUUCUCUCCCCUUUUGGGGACUUUUUCUCCACCCUGGGAUCAUUCCCUCCCCUUUUGGGGCCACUUUCUCCACCCUGGAAUCAUUCCCUCCCCUUUUGGGAUCAUUCCCUCCCCUUCUGGGACCAUUCCCUCCCCUUCUGGGACCAUUCCCUCCCCUUUUGGGGCCAUUCUCUCCCCUUUUGGGGACUUUUUCUCCACCCUGGGAUCAUUCCCUCCCCUUUUGGGGACUUCUUCUCCACCCUGGGAUCAUUCCCUCCCCUUCUGGGGCCACUUUCUCCACCCUGGGAUCAUUCCCUCCCCUUUUGGGGCCAUUCUCUCCCCUUUUGGGGACUUCUUCUCCACCCUGGGAUCAUUCUCUCCCGUUUUGGGGCCAUUUUCUCCACCCCUGGGAUCAUUCCCUGGCCUUGUGGGGCCAUUUUCUCCACCCUGGGAUCAUUCCCUUCCCUUGUGGGGCCAUUCUCUCCCCUUUUGGGGCCAUUUUCUCCACCCUGGGAUCAUUCCCUCCCCUUUUGGGGCCAUUCUCUCCCCUUUUGGGGACUUUUUCUCCACCCUGGGAUCAUUCCCUCCCCUUUUGGGGCCAUUCUCUCCCCUUCUGGGGCCAUUUUCUCCACCCUGGGAUCAUUCCCUGGCCUUGUGGGGCCAUUUUCUCCACCCUGGGAUCAUUCCCUUCCCUUGUGGGGCCAUUCUCUCCCCUUUUGGGGCCAUUUUCUCCACCCUGGGAUCAUUCCCUCCCCUUUUGGGGACUUCUUCUCCACCCUGGAAUCAUUCCCUGGCCUUGUGGGGCCAUUUUCUCCACCCUGGGAUCAUUCCCUGGCCUUGUGGGGCCAUUUUCUCCACCCUGGGAUCAUUCCCUCCCCUUUUGGGGCCAUUCUCUCCCCUUUUGGGGCCAUUUUCUCCACCCUGGGACCCAUUCUCUCCCCUUUUGGGGCCAUUCUCUCCCCUUCUGGGGCCUUUUUCUCCACCGUGGGGCCAUUCCCUCCCCUUUUGGGGCCAUUCCCUCCCCUUUUGGGACCAUUCUCUCCCCUUUUGGGGACUUUUUCUCCACCCUGGGAUCAUUCCCUCCCCUUUUGGGGACUUCUUCUCCACCCUGGGAUCAUUCCCUCCCCUUCUGGGGCCACUUUCUCCACCCUGGGAUCAUUCCCUCCCCUUUUGGGGCCAUUCUCUCCCCUUUUGGGGACUUCUUCUCCACCCUGGGAUCAUUCUCUCCCGUUUUGGGGCCAUUUUCUCCACCCCUGGGAUCAUUCCCUGGCCUUGUGGGGCCAUUUUCUCCACCCUGGGAUCAUUCCCUUCCCUUGUGGGGCCAUUCUCUCCCCUUUUGGGGCCAUUUUCUCCACCCUGGGAUCAUUCCCUCCCCUUUUGGGGCCAUUCUCUCCCCUUUUGGGGACUUUUUCUCCACCCUGGGAUCAUUCCCUCCCCUUUUGGGGACUUCUUCUCCACCCUGGGAUCAUUCCCUCCCCUUCUGGGGCCAUUUUCUCCACCCUGGGAUCAUUCCCUCCCCUUUUGGGGCCAUUCUCUCCCCUUUUGGGGACUUUUUCUCCACCCUGGGAUCAUUCCCUCCCCUUUUGGGGCCAUUCUCUCCCCUUCUGGGGCCAUUUUCUCCACCCUGGGAUCAUUCCCUGGCCUUGUGGGGCCAUUUUCUCCACCCUGGGAUCAUUCCCUCCCCUUUUGGGGCCAUUCUCUCCCCUUUUGGGGCCAUUUUCUCCACCCUGGGACCCAUUCUCUCCCCUUUUGGGGCCAUUCUCUCCCCUUCUGGGGCCUUUUUCUCCACCCUGGGGCCAUUCCCUCCCCUUUUGGGACCAUUCUCUCCCCUUUUGGGGCCUUUUUCUCCACCCUGGGACCAUUCCCUCCCCUUUUGGGGCCAUUCUCUCCCCUUUUGGGGCCUUUAUCUCCCCUGUCGCUCUGCACCUGGCACAGGAGAUAAGGGGCCAGUGCUGUGACACUGGGAGCCUCCCCUUGCCUCAUCCCUCACCACAUCCCUCCAACUCCCCAGGAAAACCCUUGGAGCUCUUCCCUAAAAUCCCACAUCCGCUCUCCCUGCUGAUGAGGGCCAGGGGUGCUCCCGCUUUCCAGGGGUUGGAAAGAUCCAGCAGCUUUUCUGUGCGUUUUGUCAAAUCCCAGGAGCUGUGUGGAAUUUAA